rfam:Bacteroidetes bacterium 43-16 scnpilot_expt_750_bf_scaffold_139, whole genome shotgun sequence.
CAAGCGUAUUCCGAAAAGCUUAUAGAGUAGGAG